rnacentral:lncRNA from 1 species
GUGGAGUUGAUGACUUUCUGUUUUCUGUUUGUAAAUUAUUUGCUAAGCAUAUUUUCUCUAGGCUUUUUUCCUUUUGGGGUUCUACAGUCGUAAAAGAGAUAAUAAGAUUAGUUGGACAGUUUAAAGCUUUUAUUCGUCCUUUGACAAAAGUAAAUGGGAGGGCAUUCCAUCCCUUCCUGAAGGGGGACACUCCAUGAGUGUCUGUGAGAGGCAGCUAUCUGCACUCUAAACUGCAAACAGAAAUCAGGUGUUUUAAGACUGAAUGUUUUAUUUAUCAAAAUGUAGCUUUUGGGGAGGGAGGGGAAAUGUAAUACUGGAAUAAUUUGUAAAUGAUUUUAAUUUUAUAUUCAGUGAAAAGAUUUUAUUUAUGGAAUUAACCAUUUAAUAAAGAAAUAUUUACCU